UAAUGUGUCCUUUUCUUCGGAACACCGGUGACAGGUGGUGCAUGGUUGUCGUCAGCUCGUGUCGUGAGAUGUUGGGUUAAGUCCCGCAACGAGCGCAACCCUUAUCCCCAGUAGCCAGCAUUUUGGAUGGGCACUCUGAGGAGACUGCCAGGGAUAACCUGGAGGAAGGUGGGGAUGACGUCAAAUCAUCAUGCCCCUUAUGACUUGGGCUACACACGUGCUACAAUGGCGUAAACAAAGGGAAGCGAGACCGUGAGGUGGAGCAAAUCCCAAAAAUAACGUCUCAGUUCGGACUGUAGUCUGCAACCCGACUACACGAAGCUGGAAUCGCUAGUAAUCGCAGAUCAGAAUGCUGCGGUGAAUACGUUCCCGGGUCUUGUACACACCGAA
rnacentral:rRNA from 1 species